rnacentral:lncRNA from 1 species
GCAAGAACAGCACCCUCUAGUGACAGGCUGCAGUAUAGGUCAUAAACCCCGCCUCCUUAUGGAGCUGUGGACAAACUUUAUAAAUGAAUGACACAGAAUAUAAAUGUUUCUCCCCCCUGGUUGUGAUGUUGACAUUUAGUUACUGUCAGACUGGUUUGUGUUCAAGUCCUCUUUUUUCUGUACAGCUCAGUUUUUAAAAGUUAUUAGGGGGUUCAUGUUUUCUAUGAUUGACACUUGAUACAGCCUAUUGGCGUACGAAGAUUGCGUAGCUCACC